GUUGUUUUGUGUUCCUCAGAGCCUCACAGUUUGGACUCAGGAGUUGGUGUCCAGUGUGGAGUUCACCAGCUUGUCUUGGGGUCAGAAUUAUUGUGUUGUGGCCAACUUCUCCUUCCCAACCUUCUCCAUGGCUGCUUCACCAAAAUCUGCACCACGCUGUGUUAAAGCUAUCUCUAAAGCAGGGACGCUUCUGCCCAUAAUGUCCUUUGGGAUCUGUUUGAUUUCCCUGUUCCUCUUUCUACUUCUGACUGCAUUCCUCCAAAAACAGAGACGGCCAACACCAGACCAAGAAAGUCAUCCCAAGACUGCAGCGUCUUCUCAUGAUCAGCUCUCUUUGGGCUUAGUUCCUAUCGAUCCUUGUGACAUCCACUUGGAAUUUGAUCAAAGCUCCAUCAACUCUCCUUCCAGUCUUGAUUCCAAUAAACACCUGACUUUGACAGCAGAGAACAUGAGCUCCAGGGAUCCCGUCCACUGUUACCCUGGUGCGGGUGCAGCAUACUGGGACAGUGGAGGACGAGAAUCUGCCAUCAGCAUCCAACCUGCAUCUCACCUUUCUGACGAAACAUGGAACAAAUGAAUGCCAAAGCUUGGAAGUUGUGCUUGUUGAGGCGUUUAAUAGAAGAUAGACUUGAAUUUCAUCUAUGUGGGGCUGUUGUUUGACCCAGUUGCCAUUUUCAAAUGCAGAAUCAAGGAUUCCAGCUAGGCCAUCUGUUUUCCCUUGAAUAACAUGACAUGCUACCUUGGGUCCAAUCACUAACUUUGGUUAAAAAAAAGAAAUCAGCAUAUGUAGUCCUUAUCUAAAAGCUUCUUGCAAAUGGGAUUUGUUUUCAGGUUAAAACUUGACUAUUCUCAAGGAGGAUGUUCUUGGUCAAGGGCCUGCAGCCUGAGCCUACAAAGCCACACGUGGCUCUUUGACCCCUCAAGGUAAAAUGAAAAACAAAAAUGAUUUUAAUUUUAAGAUAUUUUCUGGACUACAGUACAAAGCACAUCAAGUGAAAAAAGACAAUCAGAUAAGUCAAACUCAUCUCAUUCACAAACAUUUGAAGCAUUUUGCAGGUUUACUCCCAUUAACUGUAUAAAAGAGAACUGGACGGAUCGUGUGUGACAUCAUCCAUGGAAAAUCAUCCAAAAUGAAGCCAAUUCGGUCGACAUUCUUCUGCGAUACGGAGAAGGAGCCAGACGACAGCUGUUGGUCUGAGUUCAUGUUUCUAUGGCAACUACUGUCGCCACAGAGGUGAAUUGGUCAAUGAAACGUUCAAGGUGGGGGCCAGCGGGUAACACACGCUUUUACUGAGGCAUCUUAUUGGCCAGUUUACAUGAGAAAAAUUAGGAUUGGCAACAACAAAAAAGGUGUCACACUAAGAAUGGUUAUUCUGACAACACGAGGGGGGAGGGAUCACUUUGUCCAGUUUCAAUAUACAGUCAAUGAUCACCCAGCGAGACUCCUGACUAGAGUACCCAUUCUGCACCAACAAUCCAUCAAGAGGUGUGACUUCAUAGUUUACCAAAGUCACGUUAAAGCAUUUUGAUUGAUUUUGAAGCGCAGAAUACCAUAGAACGUUCCCGGGAAAUAAAUAAACACAGCCAGGAUUCAUACAUAAGGCAGGCCAGAUUACAAGGUGGGAUUCCUAUUGUUGAAAAAUUCAAGGUUUUUAAGUGUGCCUUAUGGUCCAAAAAAAACCCGGAAAGGGUCAUUUAGUUCUGAUUUAUGAAAUUCUGGCUGAGAUGCACCAAGAACGGUAAAACAAAUUGUGCAGAUUUUUUUUUCUUCCUGCUGACAUUACUCUACCUUACUACUAAAUAAUAUCUUAUUUUUGAUAAUAAAUAACAUCUUAUUUUGAAAGGAAGUCAUGUGAACUUCUGUCAAAACUUAUAAACUAUUCAAUAUUUUGAGCAAAGGCUACUUUUUUUAUGUUUACAUUUUAUUUAUGCCUAAACACAAUAGUUUGUUUAUGUUUAUUAUAAUAGUACAAAUAGCAUAAAUACAAAUUAGUGUCUUAUAUUUCUAAAAGGUAAAGUAAUACUUUGUGGGUCUUACUGGGUUGUUGUCAUUAAGAAGUUGACGUUAAUGGCCCUUUAAAGUGUUUACGGUUGCAGACCCCUGUUCUAGGUUUUUAAGUCUUUCAGAUUCUUGAAUAAGGAGUUAAAAUGGACAUCAUAUCAUUUAGAAGCGCUUGUCUUGAUUGUGGCCCCUUUUUUGCCUCACUUUAGAACAUUUGGAGUUUAAAAAUAGAAACAAGCAAAAGUAAUAAUCUGACCAAAAAAAAGAAAAAAAAGUUUUAUUUCUGGAACCAAAUCUUAAAAACAUCCCCAGACCAAACAUAUCACAUGUGAUUUAACUUCUCAGAUGGAAAUACCUUUAUAGACAUAAAACUGAAAGCAUGCUGUUUUUUUAUCUUGACAUGUCUUAUACUGUAGCUACAUAUCAGCUUCGGAGCUUGAGAAGACACUUUUGGGAGAAGCAUGAAUUCCAUGAAAUGCUUUGACAAUAGGAGCUUGUGCUUCAGUAUUUCAAAGAUUUAGAAAGAUCAUGUUUAUUCGUUCAGGUUUAACCCUUUUGCUAGCCUGGGCACUUUAACGUUGGGAGUUGGGU